GUAGGUGGCAAGCGCUGUCCGGAAUUAUUGGGCGUAAAGCGCGCGCAGGCGGUUCUUUAAGUCUGAUGUGAAAGCCCACGGCUCAACCGUGGAGGGUCAUUGGAAACUGGAGAACUUGAGUACAGAAGAGGAAAGCGGAAUUCCACGUGUAGCGGUGAAAUGCGUAGAGAUGUGGAGGAACACCAGUGGCGAAGGCGGCUUUCUGGUCUGUAACUGACGCUGAGGCGCGAAAGCGUGGGGAGCAAACAGGAUUAGAUACCCUGGUAGUCCACGCCGUAAACGAUGAGUGCUAAGUGUUAGGGGGGUUUUCCGCCCCCCUUAGUGCUGCAGCUAACGCAUUAAGCACUCCGCCUGGGAGUACGGCCGCAAGGCUG
rnacentral:rRNA from 1 species